AAAAAAAGAGGAGAGGAAAGUAGAGAGAGCGAGGGAGGUAGAGAGGCAGAGAGAGAGAGAGAGGGAGAGAGAGAGAGAGAGGGACGGACCAUCCUACCAGCCGCUGUAGAGGAGGUGUUCCAACAUGACAGCGUUGCGUCAGAGGAAGGGCAGCAGGGGGAAGGAGCCCCCUCUCGGUGUCUCAGAGUUUCAGUCCCAACAGUCCAACUGUUGCACCGAUCAUCAUCCAGAGAAGAUCUUGCACGGUGAUUGGUCAUGGGGGGCAAUAAUCUGGACGUCGGUUGGUUGGUCUGUGGCUGUUGGUCUGGGCCUGCUGUGCUGCAUCUACGUGGCGACGCUGCAUGAGAACGACCUGUGGUUCUCCAACAUCAAGGAGGUGGAGCGGGAGAUCUCCUUUCGCACAGAGUGUGGACUGUACUACUCCUACUACAAGCAAAUGCUGCUGGCCCCGUCCAUACAGGAAGGGCUCUCGGAUUUGAUCCACGACAACUUGACAGAAUCCAAGAGGACCAUUAAUCUCCUACAGCGAAUGAAUAUCUACCAAGAGGUCUUUCUCAGUGUUCUCUACAGAUUGUUGCCCAUCCAGUCGUAUCUGGAGCCAGUAUAUUUCUACAUUUACACAGUGUUCUCGCUCCAAGCUGUGUAUGUGAUCGCUCUGUACCUCACAGCAUGGCUCCUGUCGGGUUCCUGGCUGGCUGGUGCGCUCGCCGGGGUCUGGUACAUUCUCAACAGGGUAGACACCACUCGUGUGGAGUUCACCAUCUCCCUCAGAGAGAACUGGUCUUUACCCUUCCUGGCGCUGCAGGUCACCGCUAUCACGUGUUAUCUGCGGCCUCAGCUCACCGCCUUACAGCAGAAGGUGAUGGUGUGGUUAAUGUACGUGACGACCCUCUGCUUCUGUCUGACGUGGCAGUUCAACCAGUUCAUCCUACUGGUUCAGGCUCUCAUCAUAUACACCCUGGACUGUGCUGACUUCAUUACCACUACGCAGGUGACCACGCUAUACCUUGUUCAAGUGAGUGGCCUGCUGAGCGUGUGGCUCCUACAGUUCUGCAACUCCAUGGUACUGGGAUCACUGGUGCUGAGCUUCAUCGUAGCUGUGCUGUUCAUCAGGCACUUCCAGUCUGGUCUGAAGACAGGAAGCCUGCCGGUUCGUCUGGGCAAACUGCUUCUCCACAGUGCCAUGGUUCUCCUCCUCACCCUCACCAUCAACUACCUAACCAAGAAAGCGCUCCAGCUCAGAUCAGAUGAACACAUCUUUAAAUUCAUCAAGUCCAAGUUUGCCUUGGGGCCUACGAGAGAUUUCGACGCCAGUCUGUAUCUGUGUGAGGAAGCCUUUGGCCUGCUGCCCCUUGACACACUGGAGCGCCUGGCCGGCACUCUGCUGCUGUACCCCUACAUCUUCACACUACUGCUGCUCAGCGGCACGCUAGCGGUGGCCGCACUGCAGAAACUGAGCAGGACUAAAGUAGGUUCAGUCGAGGAGAAGAAAGGAGCUGGAGAGGGACGAGCGGUGGCAUUUCGUCCAGAUGUGGCCUAUAAUGUAUUACAUACGCUGUUCUUUGGACUUCUGGCUUUCAGCACUAUGAGGAUGAAGUAUAUAUGGACUGGCCAUAUGUGUGCGGUCGCAGCUUAUGGCGUGUGUGGGACGGAGCUGUGGACUCUGCUUCUCAACACCCUCCGCUGCAACAGUAAAGUGAUGUUGAGGCUUGUCAGAUAUGCAGUCCCACUGGCAAUGAUCGCUUGCCUGUAUUUCAAGUUCUGGCCCAAGCUGAUGGAGGAAUUAUCAGAACUGAGGGAGUUCUACGAUCCAGACACAGUGGAGCUCAUGACCUGGAUUAGCACAAAGACCCCUAAGCGGGCUGUGUUUGCAGGAAGCAUGCAGCUGCUGGCUGGCAUCAAGCUGUGCACAGGCAGAGUUCUCACCAACCACCCCCAUUAUGAAGAUAAAGACCUGCGGGAGAGGACCAGACAGGUGUAUCAGGUGUAUGCCCGCCGCUCCCCGGAGGAAAUCCAUGACAUCCUGAGAGCCGCGGGGGCCGACUACGUGGUCCUGGAAAACAGCAUCUGUUACGAGCGGAGGCACAGGCGAGGCUGCAGACUGCGGGACCUGCUCGACCUGGCCAACGGACACAUCAUGGACGGAUCAGGAGAGAACGAGCUAGACCUCGUCCCCGCCUCCCACCCACGGUUCUGCGAAGCCAUCAAGACGGAGGCAGCGGCCUACACCGCCCUGUUCAACUUAACGUUCCAGAAUAAAACCUUCCACGUUUACCGGGUCAAGAAGAAACGCAAGAAAAGUGCCAAGAGCUCGUCUGAGCCCAGCGCCAGUCCGUAGCAGGAGGAGGGCGGCGACAGAAACCCCCGCCAGAGGGGAGAGGGGAGAGAGAUGGAGGAGAAGAAGAGAUAAAAGCACUGAGUCCUCGCUGUUCCUCUGUCUCCUCUCUGCGCUGUGCCCAGCUGUGAUCAUGCCCAUUAUUUUUUCAACACAUGGUUGUGUGAACUGUGGUGGUGAGCAGUGGGCCUGUUCAAGCUUGGGGGCUGCAUUGUUUUAGUUUGUGGAGUGUGGAAGCACCUAUAGGAGUCCUGCUUUGGGGUGUUGUGUCUCCAGCCAGCCUCCUCCCAGCCCACAGCGGUGCAGAGGAACACACACAGAAACAUUUGAACUCUAAGCAGGGCCCAAAUACCACGAGCAACCACUAAUAAUUUAGUUUUAUUUGAUGUAGUGUGUGUCAUUUCUGCACAGCAGCAUGAAAUGAAAUAAAAAGUAGCAGUCAUCGCUACAUAGAAACACCUAGAAAUAUAGUUCAAUAGCAUCUAUCAAAGCUGGAUCCAGCAUCAACAAAGCAAGAAAAACCAUAACUUCAUAUUUAAAAACUACAACAUUCAAAUACUCUAUACAUUGUAAUAAAAAGAAGCUUUUCUAGAUAUAUAUUACACACUACACGUUUUGUACAUUAUUCAUCGCCACUGAAAAUAGGAGGAGAAGAUAAAAGAUUUGUUUAGUUGAACAAAUCUGAGGAUUUUAGUCCAUUUGGAACCGGAUCUAAAAUAGAGCUGGGCCUCGUUUCCAAUAACGAUCAAUCCUAGAAGCUGAGAGUGAUUCUACGAAUACUCCUAAAUUACUGCACGUUUUCCUGAAGCAGUACGUAUUAAAGUAAAAUGAAGCAGUGGCUGUUCCUAUACGUUUCAUGAACGUGUUCAUCACUCUGCCAUCAUUUCUGUGUUAGGUUUUCUGUAUAUAACUGUGAGGCAAACAUCAUAAACACUAUAAAUAAAAAGAAGAGAGGAUAUACAGGAAAUACACCUCCGGGGGAGGUAUUUGAUAGUUCAGCCUGAAGACAUGAAUAAAUAAGGAUAAGAGGAUGGUGAAGAUUAGUGUACACAUGUUCAGUGUUCUUGAUAAAGUAUAAUAAAUAAUGAGCCAAAACAAAAGUUACAAUGCUUUUGGGAAACACUACUUCAACUUACAAAUGUUUGUGAGAUGGAUUUUUAUGAUCUUUUGGGAAAUGAGGCCUGGCUGUUAAAACAGAAAACCCUAAUUCAGUUUUUCAGCUCAUGAACUUAAUACUUUUUUUGGAAAGUGCAAGUUGCCACAGUAACGCUGACUUAUUUCUCUCAUAAAUUACACAUAAGGUACAAGUUAGAUGAAAACGUGCACUGCCAACUUCUCAAAGUGCUGCUAUAAUUUUAACAGAGUCGAUUACCUAUGAAGCUUUUUUUCUAAUUUAAAAGAAGUUUGAAAAAGUUCUGACUUUCUUUUGGUAAAUGACACAGAUCUGAUUGGCUGAGAUCUUUUAUUAUUCCAAAUUUAGAACUAUUCCUCACCAACUCUCCUCAAGUUCCACUUAUCAGCUUUUUCCCCCUGCAGCUUUCGAUCAUAUCAUGCGGUCUUCACCAAUGGGUGGAGCUUACUCAGUUGUCAUGGAGAUGGAUCUGUUGUCAUGUGAGCACAGUAGACAACAGCACUUUUGGGACUUCUUAUGUCGGCUUAAAAACUGAGUGUUAAAGUUAAUUCUCGGAAAUAGUAGUUGGUCACAAUGACACCAACUCAAAGGUCCCCUUACUCGCUUUUUCCAGAGUUUUCAACUGUAUCACACACUCUUCUAAAAGUGCUAUGGACAAACCCUAUGCACUCAUGAAGACUUUUCUAUAUGGUCUGGAAAAAGCAAGUAAGUGGACCUUAAGUCAGGAUUGUUUGGACCUUGAUUCUGAUUCCUCACUUGUUUUUUUCCGCUUUGGGAUUUUUAAACGUGACUAAUGUGCUAAAGUGUCAAAAACUUGUUAGUGUGCUGAGAGAGCUUGAGGUAUAUUAGUAUAUAGAUAUAGGUAUAUUAGAUGCAUGGAGACAGUUAGGAGAGAAGUAUUAGUUUAACCUGUUGUGUGGGAGGGGGAAAAAAAAAACACAUUAAAUAAGUUUGACCGGCCUGGAGCUCAGAUCAGUUGACAUUUAACUUUUUUUUUAGCUCGGCAAUGAUAGAUGUGAUCAAUUACUGCCCUGAAAAGAGAAUCGAAAUAAUGUUAUUAGUUUCGAUUCCCCACCCGGGUGGAAGCAAAGCAGGUUCCACUUCUGCUUAAAUGUGUUGUUGCUGUAAAACUGAGGUCAAAGCUGCUACCAAGUGAUAUUUGUGACAGUGGUGUUGUUGUUGUGAAUGCUGUCAUGUUUUUCUUUCUGUUGGCUCUGUGAUUCUCAUCAGCAGCAGCCUCAACCUUUUCACUCUCUCCUCACACAUAUACACACACACACAUGAAUAAUGUAAGUGGCUAGGAAAUUGCAGCAAGCUGACAACGACGCUGAUUCCCUGCCGCAAUCCAAAAUAGUUUGGGAGAGAGAGGGAGCCAACACUUGCAUAUCAAACCAAGGCUUUAUGGUUAGAAAAGAAAAUGGGGAGGAGGAGGAGGAGUGGGGAAAGACAAGAAGAGGCUCAUGUUUAAACAGAAGCAGAGAUGAGAGAACAUCAGAACACAGAUUCACAACAAUCUGUACCCUCUCCUCAUUUUUUUCUCCUUUUUUCUUCUUCCUAACCAAAGGGGAAGCAGAGGAGAGGAGGUGAUUGAAAGGUUGGAGCUGUGUCAGUAAUUAUGGGUUGGCCAGUCAGAGCCAAUCAGAGCUGCCUGCUACAAUGAGCAAAUGUGGGUACGACACACACACACACACUCACACAAACACUUUUAAACCCCCCCCCCCUUUUGCCCUCAUCUGGGGAUAUCUGCCUAUAUUUGUAUACUUGUUAAUAAGGACCUCCGUCUUUGAUAAUCCACACACCCACAGAUGCAUGAACACUCAGUUGUUGUGCCGCUUCUUUAUGAAAACAUGUUCGUUAACCGCACGUCCUCAUUGUAAUGCAUACCAAUCAGAUCACUGAGGAACAGCACUGCUUGUUCUCUGCCUCUGCCCCCCUCCCCCCCCCCUCCCCUCCUCAACCCUGCCUUCACAUUGGAUGUUUAAUUUAGAAGAUGUCUGAUUGCUUUAUUUGAGAGCGAAGUGACUCCAUUAUGUUUGCCUAAUAAGAGUGUACUAAUGUAAUAUUUUUUCAGCAUUGUUAAUUUCCAUACAUAUUGGGAUUAGUCGUUGGUUUGGAGGUACGCCGUCUGACUGCGCCUCUCUUAAUGAAAGGGAGAUGGAGAAAGCCAUUAAGUCGUGUGCAUGUAUAGAAGUCAGCUCAGACGCUGCAUUUAGACUCGUUUAAAAAAAAAAAAAAAAACGAACUGGUGGUUGCUGCUGAAACAAACGCGGUUUUAAAGAAUGGUUUUAAAGAUGCGGAUAGAUUUCUGUUGCCUCAAACCAAAUUUAGAGCAGGACUAAAGCUUGAUUAUUCUAAAUAAAACAUGUGAUUCCCUUACAGAAAUCUGCCAUAACAAUAACACUACACACUAUAUGGCCAAAAGCACAUGAACAUUGUCUCAUUACAACCAUAUCAAUAAAAUGUAUAAAAACUUAGAUUCCAUCAGCAAUUUUAACCUAUCUCUAUCCACUCCUGAUGGAAAUAUCUAGCUGCUAAAUGCUCCGCUAUGUUCUCAAGCUAAGUCGUAACUGUGUCGUUUGAUUCUUGACCCCCUUCACAUUACAUCAUUUCACCUGCUGUUAAUGUAAAAAACUCAUUUUAGGCAGCUUUAGAGAACGAACCGCAGUCAUGUUACACGUGUCAUCAUAAUAAAAACACUGAGUCCCUGCCAUGUAAUUACAUUGAUGCUAUUUGUGAAUGUGACAUUUCCACAAGGGUCUAAAUAGCAUGUUUGAUGAGGAACACUAUAUACACAUCCAUACUUAUCCUCAGAUGUGAUUGACAAGGAGGCGUUCCAACUACCUAGUUUUGUCAUUUGUUGUCACCUGGUGUCAACAUUUGAGCAAAUAUCUAUCUUUAUAAUAUAACAUACAAUGUGAAGGACUGACAGACACUUUAUUGUGAUAACUACACAGCAAAAAAGUUUUUGGAGAAUGCAACAAUUGUAAGAAAUAAUGUGCAUCAUCAUACUGAUACAUUCUUUAAAGUUUUCAUCAUAGAAGCAGCUACACCCACGCAAAGCUGUAAACUACUAAAUGCCAAACUUAACUUUGUGCCAAAAAUCAGCUUUUUAAUCUGAUAUCUGUGACGGGUGUGGUCGUGUCAGGUCACAUGACCUCCUCAAAUAUGUGUACUUAUGUUGUAAUUACUGUAGCCAGAAAAACAAAAACAGGAAACAGAACAAAUGACAAAAAAUUAAUUGGUAGCAUAAGCUCAAUAAAGAAGGUUUCUGGUGCAGUUUGAUUACGAGAAAAUAAGCUUGUGACCCUGAACCUUUAAUUAUGUUCAAUACUAGCAGUCACAUUUACAGCUGACUGGACCAACAAGGAUCUCUGGCAAGAGCAGAAACAUCCACUUGAGUUUAUUUGAUUAAAGAUAAUUGUAUUGUGUGUGAGUGCCUUUAGUUAUCUGCUUUUUUUUUCUUUUCUUAUUUUCUUCUAAGGAUCCACUGAACUCAUGUUGAACAGCUGAACCUUUUUCAUAUCAGAAAUCAUACAAACCUGCUUGUUCUCACACCGAGCAUGCUAUUGGUUGAACUACCUUUGUUUUCCAUUGCAAGUUGCUAUUAGCAUUUUGACACAUCCAUGUACACCGGCAGUGUGAACAAUAAAAGUUUUUCUUUUCCAAUGAUGUAAUUCCCUCGUUUGUAAUUAUGAAAAACCUAUUUUUUCUCCCAUUUCGUCGGUUUGAAUUUAGUCAUUUCAUCACAGUCACUGGUGCAAAUAAAUGAUUUUAUUGAAAAAAAAAAAGAUCAAAGCAAAUACAAAACACUUACAUAACUGUUGAAAGCUCAUCACCAUCAUGAUGAUUAAAAAAAAAGAUAUUUUCUGUUU